rnacentral:tRNA from 1 species
UCGAAAUCGGUAGACGCUACGGACUUAAAAUCCGUCGACUUUUAAAAUCGUGAAGGGU